rnacentral:piRNA from 1 species
UGAAGAAAACCAAAGCGCAGACCUUC